GACGAACGCUGGCGGCGUGCUUAACACAUGCAAGUCGAACGAAGAGCGAUGGAAGCUUGCUUCUAUCACUCUUAGUGGCGAACGGGUGAGUAACGCGUAAUCAACCUGCCCUUCAGAGGGGGACAACAGUUGGAAACGACUGCUAAUACCGCAUACGAUCUAAUCUCGGCAUCGAGGAUAGAUGAAAGGUGGCCUCUACAUGUAAGCUAUCACUGAAGGAGGGGAUUGCGUCUGAUUAGCUAGUUGGAGGGGUAACGGCCCACCAAGGCGAUGAUCAGUAGCCGGUCUGAGAGGAUGAACGGCCACAUUGGGACCGAGACACGGCCCAGACUCCUACGGGAGGCAGCAGUGGGGAAUCUUCCGCAAUGGACGAAAGUCUGACGGAGCAACGCCGCGUGAGCGAUGACGGCCUUCGGGUUGUAAAGCUCUGUUAAUCGGGACGAAAGGCCUUCUUGCGAAUAGGGAGAAGGAUUGACGGUACCGGAAUAGAAAGCCACGGCUAACUACGUG
rnacentral:rRNA from 1 species